rnacentral:rRNA from 1 species
GGCUUAAUUUGACUCAACGCGGGGAAUCUUACCGGGUCCGGACAUACUGAGGAUUGACAGACAUCACCACGUCUUUUUGUCCUUAAAAAGACAAAAGAUAACAGAUCUUUCAUGAUUAUGUGGUGGGUGGUGCAUGGCCGUUCUUAGUUCGUGGAGUGAUCUGUCUGCUUAAUUGCGUUUCAAAUGUAUUUUUGAUUUAUCAAACGAGUCUACGAAGAUGUCUAUUCAUACAAGCACUUCAUUUAUGAUUUGUUUGGAAUACGACUCUUUCGGCUCAAUUGAACGCAACGGACGUGAUUGCAAGUCCUUGUUGAACUUCUGUAUAUAUCAUUUACAUUCUUAACUGAGUGUAUCUAAGAUAAUAGAGUUCGCUUUCUAUUGGUGACGGGAUCUCCAAUCACUUUCGAGUGAGAGUGAGUGAUCUAAUCCUUUAGGAAAACUCGGGCGACCGCUGUAAUACUUUCUUUUUAAAACAGAGGAAGAUUGCGGCAAUAACAGGUCUGUGAUG